UGAAUGAAUGAAUCUUUAUUUGCAUCAGCCAUCGGCCAUAGCAACAAAACAACAAUAGGAUAGACAAAGAAUAGAAAUAAAAAGUCAAUUGUAUAAAACACAUUAUAGGGUUUUGGAUCAAUAGUCAAAUAGUGGAAUAUUAUUCUCAUUGCCCCAGCUAAAAACCUUGCAUGCGGAUAUAAAUAAAGCAUAAAAUGGCCCCAAAAUAGGCUCAGCAC